GGGCUCGUAGUCUAGUCAGGCUCUGAUUCUGGCCUGCGAAGCCGGAGGUCGUGGGUUCGAAUCCCACCGAGCCCGCCA
rnacentral:tRNA from 1 species